rnacentral:rRNA from 1 species
GACGAACGCUGGCGGCGUGCUUAACACAUGCAAGUCGAACGGAAAGGCCCUGCUUUUGUGGGGUGCUCGAGUGGCGAACGGGUGAGUAACACGUGAGUAACCUGCCCUUGACUUUGGGAUAACUUCAGGAAACUGGGGCUAUUACCGGAUAGGAGCUCCUGCUGCAUGGUGGGGUUUGGAAAGUUUCGGCGGUUGGGGAUGGACUCGCGGCUUAUCAGCUUGUUGGUGGGGUAGUGGCUUACCAAGGCUUUGACGGGUAGCCGGCCUGAGAGGGUGACCGGCCACAUUGGGACUGAGAUACGGCCCAGACUCCUACGGGAGGCAGCAGUGGGGAAUAUUGCACAAUGGGCGGAAGCCUGAUGCAGCAACGCCGCGUGCGGGAUGACGGCCUUCGGGUUGUAAACCGCUUUCGCCUGUGACGAAGCGUGAGUGACGGUAAUGGGUAAAGAAGCACCGGCUAACUACGUG